GAUGAAGAACGCAGCGAAAUGCGAUACGUAGUGUGAAUUGCAGAAUUCAGUGAAUCAUCGAAUCUUUGAACGCACAUUGCGCCCCCUGGUAUUCCGGGGGGCAUGCCUGUCCGAGCGUCAUUACAACCCUCAAGCUCAGCUUGGUGUUGGGCCCCGCCGCCCCGGCGGGCCCUAAAGUCAGUGGCGGUGCCGUCCGGCUCCGAGCGUAGUAAUUCUUCUCGCUCUGGAGGUCCGGUCGUGUGCUCGCCAGCAACCCCCAAUUUUUUUCAGGUUGACCUCGGAUCAGGGAGGGAUACCCGCUGAACUUAAGCAUAUCAAUAAGCGGAGGA
rnacentral:misc_RNA from 1 species